ACAAGGACUUCAACGUUACGGAAAUCAGACAGAUGUGCAUUUGCCAAAUCUGUCCCGGGGGUAAUAUCUCGGGUCUAACUCGUGGGUUGGGGUGCACUUCAGACCGGGUCCACACGGGCACAGUCCAUUAUAGUACUCUGUAUCAGGCGAGUAUUGCUGUCCCAAUUCACACCACAUUGCGUCUAUGCCUUUCCAGGGGAGGCAAUAAUGUACCAUACCGUCCCAGUCAGGCGGGACUUGUCGCCCUUGAGCGGACCUUUUCCCCAAGGCGGGCGUGUAAGAGCAACAUAAUUGCGUGUUGUUACAGUGUUCGUUGGUGUUGCAGUGAUACAAGUUGGACGGCGUGAAGGCACACUGAAAACAAUACAUCUUUAUAAAUGAAAACUCACCCUCACUUGUCAAGGUCACAAUUCAAGAUGAAACGUCAAGGGAAAACGGUGCCUAUUGCGUAUGCGUAAAGAGUCGUCCCACAUAAGACUGUGAAGACGCACAUGCUGAUCCCACGACGAUACGUUCUGCCUUGACUGGAUUUUCAUCAGAUGAGACUUCUUUUAAACGAAACCAUUCCUAACAGGGGGCUAAUCUGAGACGAUUCUUUAUGCAUAUUCGUUAAUUUCGUUUCUUCCCAGAGCGAUGCUCAUAUUCAACUGCAAUAUUUGUCAGCAGAUGAUUGUCUGUCUGUCUGUCUGUCUGUCUGUCUGUCUGUCUGUCUGUCUGUCUGUCUGUCUGUCUGUCUGUCUGUCUGUCUGUCUGUCUGUCUCUGUGUGUGUGUGUGUGUGUGUGUGUGUGUGUGUGUGUGUGUGUGUGUGUGUGUGUGUGUGUGUGUGUGUGUGCGUGCGUGCGUGCGUGCGUGCGUGUGUGUGUGUGUCUGUCUGUCCGUCCGCCUGUCCGUCCGUCCGUCCGCCCGCCCGCCCGCCCGCCCGUCCACCCGUCCGUCCGUCCGUCUGUCUGUCUGUCUGUUUAAAAUAAAUUUGCACUCUCAUAGAUACGUCUUUUAGUAUUUUUUACAGACUUCAAGUGGUUCUUGUUGAGAAUCAUAUAAAUAAGUCUGAGCAUAAUUAAUCAUCUCAAAAGUUCUUAACUUCUGCAAGUACUAAUAAAAUAAAACCCUAAAGCGUGCUGUUAUUUCAGAAUUCUUGAAGUAUACUGUACAUAUAAUUUCUACGACCAUUCUUUCUUACUUGUUAUUUAAAAGCUCAGUUUUCAAUUACUGGUAGAGGUAUAUGCUUCUAGUACUGGCGACCAGCAUCAUUGCAUCAAGAUUUCGUAUGUUCGUCGUAAAGUUCUUAUUUUCAUGGUAUUCUGCAUUCUGCACUGAACGGUUAAGAGAACUUUUCUAAAAACUUAAAGGGGCCUUUUCACAGAUUUUGGCAUUUUUUAACUUAUUCAUUAAAUGCUUUAUAUUGAUAAAUGUAAACAUUGGAUCGUAAAAUCUCCAGUAAAAAAUCAAAAAUAAAAUUAAAAAAAGGAAAAGAACAUUGCCCGGAGCAGGUUUCGAACCAGUGACCCCUGGAGUCCUGCCAGAGUCCUGAAGUAAAAACGCUUUAGCCUACUGAGCUAUUCCGCCGAGUACACAUACUUGACGUAUUUUAUACCUUAUAUAAGCAAUCUUCGUAGUUUCACAAAAUUUAACGACAAAAACAGAACUCUCAAAAUUAUUCAAUCGUUUCGCGUUGCAACGCUUUAUAAUUUUUAGGUUUUAAAAUCGUCAAAAGAUGCAUAUAAUGGCUAUAUUAGACCAUGGUAAAUGUUCAGUAUUACUGUUUCCUCACAAAUAUCAUAACUAAAACGAAAAUGUGCGAAUCUGAAACAACUUUUUUCAAUUUUGUCAAUUUACCAAAGCGUGAAAAGAUCCCUUUAAGUAUUCCAAUACAUUCAAAGUUGCAAAACAUAAAUCUUUUUCCCGACUUCUUUCAUAAUCAUUUGAUUUCAGUAUUCACUCCUAUGAACAUAAAUUCAUACACACAUGAAUUAUAUAUGCAUUUAUGAUAGUAAAUGAAAUGUGACAAUGAUAAUCAAAACAAUAUAAGCACACACGUGUUGUAACCUCCUCUCAGAAAACCAGGAAAAACACUUAUUUUCAGUAAGUAGACAUUUUCAAAUUAUUUGGCAGAUGGGGAAUACAACGUUUCAGCAUGGAAAUUGUAUAUGAUGUAUAUGUAUCCUUAAUCGAAUCAAAGAAACUAUUUUAGUUUUACUUCAGUAAUUUUAAGUUCCAGCUUUAUUUGCAAGGGCAUCCACAUUUUAACCCUUUGCAUGCUGGGAAAUUUGUCGUCUGCUAAAAUGUCGUCUGCUGAAUUUCUAAAAUUAGCAUUUUCGU